rnacentral:rRNA from 1 species
CCAAUAGCGUAUAUUAAAGUUGUUGCAGUUAAAAAGCUCGUAGUUGAAUUUCGGGAUUGACACAUCGGUCGUGCCUUAAGGGGUAUGAACUGGUGUAGUCAAUUUCUCACCUUCUGGAGAACCACGAUGCCCUUAAUUGGGUGUCGCGGGGAACCAGGACCUUUACUUUGAAAAAAUUAGAGUGUUUAAAGCAGGCAUUUUGCUUGAAUACAUUAGCAUGGAAUAAUAAAAUAGGACGGCAUGAUUCUAUUUUGUUGGUUUCUAGGAUCACCGUAAUGAUUAAUAGGGAUAGUUGGGGGCAUUAGUAUUCAAUUGUCAGAGGUGAAAUUCUUGGAUUUAUUGAAGACUAACUACUGCGAAAGCAUUUGCCAAGGAUGUUUUCAUUAAUCAAGAACGAAAGUUAGGGGAUCGAAGACGAUCAGAUACCGUCGUAGUCUUAACCAUAAACUAUGCCGACUAGGAAUCAGACGAUGUUAAUUUUUUAAUGACUCGUUUGGCACCUUACG